rnacentral:rRNA from 1 species
GACAGAGGGUGCAAACGUUGUUCGGAAUUACUGGGCGUAAAGCGCGUGUAGGCUGCUCAGAAAGUCGGAUGUGAAAGCCCUGGGCUUAACCUGGGAAGUGCAUUCGAAACGUCUGAGCUGGAGUUCUGGAGAGGAAGGCGGAAUUCUCGGUGUAGAGGUGAAAUUCGUAGAUAUCGAGAGGAACACCGGUGGCGAAGGCGGCCUUCUGGACAGUGACUGACGCUGAGACGCGAAAGCGUGGGGAGCAAACAGG